rnacentral:rRNA from 1 species
UACGUAGGGGGCAAACGUUGCUCGGAAUUACUGGGCGUAAAGGGUGUGUAGGUGGCUGAGCAAGUCAUUGAUGAAAUCCCAUGGCUCAACCAUGGAAUUGUCUCUGAAACUGCUCAGCUUGAGGAUAGUUGAAGAAAACGGAAUUCCCGGUGGAGCGGUGAAAUGCGUAGAUAUCGGGAGGAACACCAGAGGCGAAGGCGGUUUUCUAGACUAUUCCUGACACUGAGACACGAAAGCUAGGGGAGCGAACGGGAUUAGAUACCCCCGUA